CUUGCUUCUCUUGAGAGCGGCGGACGGGUGAGUAAUGCCUAGGAAUCUGCCUGGUAGUGGGGGAUAACGUCCGGAAACGGACGCUAAUACCGCAUACGUCCUACGGGAGAAAGCAGGGGACCUUCGGGCCUUGCGCUAUCAGAUGAGCCUAGGUCGGAUUAGCUAGUUGGUGGGGUAAUGGCUCACCAAGGCGACGAUCCGUAACUGGUCUGAGAGGAUGAUCAGUCACACUGGAACUGAGACACGGUCCAGACUCCUACGGGAGGCAGCAGUGGGGAAUAUUGGACAAUGGGCGAAAGCCUGAUCCAGCCAUGCCGCGUGUGUGAAGAAGGUCUUCGGAUUGUAAAGCACUUUAAGUUGGGAGGAAGGGCAGUAAAUUAAUACUUUGCUGUUUUGACGUUACCGACAGAAUAAGCACCGGCUAACUCUGUGCCAGCAGCCGCGGUAAUACAGAGGGUGCAAGCGUUAAUCGGAAUUACUGGGCGUAAAGCGCGCGUAGGUGGUUCGUUAAGUUGGAUGUGAAAUCCCCGGGCUCAACCUGGGAACUGCAUUCAAAACUGACGAGCUAGAGUAUGGUAGAGGGUGGUGGAAUUUCCUGUGUAGCGGUGAAAUGCGUAGAUAUAGGAAGGAACACCAGUGGCGAAGGCGACCACCUGGACUGAUACUGACACUGAGUGCGAAAGCGUGGGGAGCAAACAGGAUUAGAUACCCUGGUAGUCCACGCCGUAAACGAUGUCAACUAGCCGUUGGGAGCCUUGAGCUCUUAGUGG
rnacentral:rRNA from 1 species